AACGAACGCUGGCGGCAUGCCUAACACAUGCAAGUCGAACGAGACCUUCGGGUCUAGUUGCGCACGGGUGCGUAACGCGUGGGAACCUGCCCUUAGGUUCGGAAUAACUCCCCGAAAGGGGUGCUAAUACCGGAUAAUGUCUUCGGACCAAAGAUUUAUCGCCUUUGGAUGGGCCCGCGUUGGAUUAGCUAGUUGGUAGGGUAAAAGCCUACCAAGGCGAAGAUCCAUAGCUGGUCUGGGAGGAUGAUCAGCCACACUGGGACUGAGACACGGCCCAGACUCCUACGCAAGGAAGCAGUGGGGAAUAUUGAACGCUGGGCGAAAGCCUAAUCCAGCAGUGCCGCGUGAGUGAUGAAGGAGUUAGGGUUGUAAAGCUCUUUUACCCGGGAUGAUAAUGACAGUACCGGGAGAAUAAGCUCCGGCUAACUCCGUG
rnacentral:rRNA from 1 species